rnacentral:rRNA from 1 species
UAAAGCGUGCGCAGGCGGUUAUAUAAGACAGAUGUGAAAUCCCCGGGCUCAACCUGGGAACUGCAUUUGUGACUGUAUAGCUGGAGUGCGGCAGAGGGGGAUGGAAUUCCGCGUGUAGCAGUGAAAUGCGUAGAUAUGCGGAGGAACACCGAUGGCGAAGGCAAUCCCCUGGGCCUGCACUGACGCUCAUGCACGAAAGCGUGGGGAGCAAACAGGAUUAGAUACCCCGU